AGGAGCAAUGACGGUGCAUUUUUUGAAAAAAGAAAAAGAAGGCAGGUGGAGACUGGCGAGAGGAACACUGUGUUACAAAAUGAAAGACGUCGCCAUCGUGUAGCUGACGUAAGCAUAAAAAUUCGCUCAAUUUAAUUCCUGUAAUAUGGCUCAGCAUUCCCGUCAUCCAUUGUUUUACGUACAGAUAAAUUUAAUAAAUCCGAUAAGUUAUUAAAAUUAUCUACGCACAUUAAUUCAUUUGCUUAUUUCGUCAUUACUGUACAGUUACGGAAAUUCACUUUUUUCGGUGGGGUGCAAACAGUGGCGUAGCCAGCCCGACAAUUUAGCCCCGCUAUGCAAAUUAAAAAUUAUUACAUUAUUCAUUUCUUUAGAAAAUGAGAGGCUGUUUUUAACCCUCUUUUAGGUCAAAAUUGCCGAAGAUUCGUCAUUUUCCCUGAAGUUGGGUUUCUCUCCUCCCCCGUCCGACCGAGGUUUCGGCCACUGUUACUGUAACAUGCAAUAAAUUUAAUUAGCGUUUUCGUGCCGGUUUGCACGUACUUUCGAAGUAUUAAUAGAACGAAGAAAUCUUCACCGAAAUUAAGGUUUAGACUUUUAGCGCAUGUGUGUAGAUUCCUUUACAAGAAAGAUCAAUACAAGUUAUUUCUGCAGUAUAGAGUUAAUCUUAUAUAGCAGUAGGGAUGAUAUACUACAACGUUGACUGAUAAACCACAGGCCAAGCCAAGUAAAAAUUGAAUGAUGGGGCACGCUUUUCGUGAUUUUCUCUUCAUCCCCCACCUGCUUCUUAUCUUCUAUAUCACAAAUAUUUACUUUUAAUCACGUUCUUCAUCCUAGUAUGUGCCUGGUACUUGAUAAAAAAUGUAUUAAUAAGGAGAAUUUCUCACUACAUUUAUAUAGAAACUUCGUCGUCGGUUCGACACGCGUAAUAAAACAUCAAUAUGGCCAGAACCAGAAAUGAGGGCGAGUAUAGAAAGGGCAUGAAAAUGCAUUGCAUGUCCCCAGAAGAGAGCGAGAAGGAACUUGUGCAACAAAACGAAUCAUCUGGGUCGGAAGAGGAAGAUGAGCCUCAAAGAAUAAGCAAAAAAGUAAUCAAAAUCCACCCACUAUCUUGGCGCAGCGACAGAUUCAUCAAUCUCUUGGAAUCGUUGGACCGAAAGUUUUGUUGGUGUGUGCUGCAGGAACUGACAUUCCUAACUGCAUGGAUGGCCAAGAUUUAGAUUUUUAAAAGAAUACAUUUUAUUCAACUUGUAUUUUUAUAUGCAUGCACUAUAAAUUUUCAUUUAUUCAGCUGUGGUUGAGUAAUAAGCAAGAAUUGUGUGAAGAUUUUCGGAUAUCCGGAAUUGUCAUGUUUUACUGC